rnacentral:rRNA from 1 species
UAAUACGUAGGGUCCGAGCGUUGUCCGGAUUUAUUGGGCGUAAAGAGCUCGUAGGCGGCUUACUAAGUCGAAUGUGAAAACUCCAGGCUCAACCUGGAGCCUGCAUUUGAUACUGGUAUGGCUAGAGUCCGGUAGGGGACCACGGAAUUCCUGGUGUAGCGGUGAAAUGCGCAGAUAUCAGGAGGAACACCGGUGGCGAAGGCGGUGGUCUGGGCCGGCACUGACGCUGAGGAGCGAAAGCGUGGGGAGCAAACAGGAUUAGAUACCCUGGUAGUCCACGCCGUAAACGUUGGGCACUAGGUGUGGGGCCUUAUCAACGGGUUCCGUGCCGCAGCUAACGCAUUAAGUGCCCCGCCUGGGGAGUACGGCCGCAAGGCUA